rnacentral:rRNA from 1 species
GGAGCCGUAGCGAAAGCGAGUUUUAACUGAGCGUUCAGUUACUUGACGUAGACCCGAAACCGGGCGACCUACCCAUGAGCAGGAUGAAGCGAAAGUAAAAUUUCGUGGAGGUCCGAACCCACGAGCGUUGAAAAGCUCGGGGAUGACUUGUGGGUAGCGGUGAAAUUCCAAUCGAGCCCGGAGAUAGCUGGUUCUCCCCGAAAUAGCUUUAGGGCUAGCCUCAAGGUGAGAGAUACGGAGGUAGAGCACUGAAUGUCCUAGGGGGUAUUGCACCUACCGAAGACUAUCAAACUCCGAAUGCCGUCAUCUUAUACUUGGGAGUCAGACUGUGGGUGAUAAGAUUCAUAGUCGAAAGGGCAACAGCCCAGAUCGUCAGCUAAGGUCCCUAAAUGUAAGUUAAGUGGUAAAGGAUGUGGGAUUGCACAGACAACCAGGAUGUUGGCUUAGAAGCAGCCACUCAUUCAAAGAGUGCGUAAUAGCUCACUGGUCGAGUGAUCCUGCGCCGAAGAUUUCCGGGGCUAAAACUUACUACCGAAGCUACGGCAUCAGUAAUGAUGGGUAGGGGAGCUUC